rnacentral:ncRNA from 1 species
AAAGUAGAGGUUGCGUUGCCGAUGAGUAGUCAUUUUGACAUUGUAAAGAGUGGAUGAUAAAUGACAAAAGGCGGAGACGCCGAAGGCACGGAUGCUUUACCUGAAGUGGCCUGGGGGUAUGUGGAAUACGCAUACAACUGUCAUCAGUAGAUGGGGAGCUACG